rnacentral:sRNA from 1 species
AAUCAAUUUAGGCCAUUAGUUAAUUCCUUUACGAAGGUUUUAACGGCCUCAGAUACAAGCGUUCAUGGUGGAUUCUCUGUUCCGAAAAAACAUGCCAUUGAAUGUCUCCCUCCGCUGGUAUUUAAUUUUAU